UGGUAACCAAGUGCCACAAAGUCAACAUCAGAUUUUUACCACCAUUGACAAAGAAAACAUUUUCACUUUUUGGCAAAAUUCACCAGCUGCACAAGUCUUGUUAAGUAGCAACUGAAGUCUGAAGGACCCUCAACGAGUUAAGAGGACAAUUACAACAAAGUGCGACUCCUUGGAAACAAAUACAUGAGCUCAGUGGUGGAGCUGGGAGCAGGACUCCGGCAUUAGCGCCACGCAGAGCAGCAGCACUCUGAUUUACAGAUCCCAGAGCUGGUGAUUGAGGAGAGCAUUACGUCACAGCUGAUAGAUCAGAGAGUCUUACAGCCGAGCGGAGCUCCAUCAACUGCUGC